ensembl:lncRNA
CUGUUCACUCGUUGCACAGCCAGCUGCUCAUAGACAUCAAUGUUAUUUCUGCAGCUUGAAAGACAGCGACUUUUGAUAAAACUGGCCUUGUAGCACAUUGUCUAGCUUACAACGAUGGGAAAGAGGCAUUGUUUAUGAUUUUACAACGUAUAUCUCAUGAGUUAUUGAUGCCGGAAGUCCGAAUCUGUGAAUAUCUUGCCAACUUUACCUAACUCAAGUGUGGAGCCAAACGACAACAAGAUUCUCAGAGGGCGGAGCCAGAGAGCAGUGAUUGGUCAGACCAUAGACGUAUAGAAGACAACGCGCUAGCGGAUGUAGUCUGCUAUAUAUGUCUAUGGUCGGAACGUCUGGUAGCAUCUCUGGCUGCUGUUGACCUUGUUUUUGGAGUAAAACAUGGUGGAAGCUGAAUUAGUGAGGAUGACUCCUGCUCCUGUCAUCUCUAAGCUCCUCACACAUCUUUUACCUGCACAUGAGGAAAAUCACUCCUGUAGAAUGCAGUGUUUCAUCAGAACCUCUGGGGAUGUCCUGUGGAUUCUGUGGAUCCUGUGGGUUGCAGGGUGGGUCCUACCUAGACCAGGCUGAUCCUGGACCAUCCCACAGAUGCUCCAUCAGAUCUGGAUGUGAGGAGUGUGGAACCCAGAUGUUCAGAGGGAGAUGAUGCCACAUCUGGUCCAGCUGAUGGAAGGUCUUGAAGUUCUCUGACUGGCCUCGACUGAAGAUGGUCGUCUCACUGGAUUUAAGGUUCAGAUGCUCAGUAACAAACUCCACCAAUGAGCCAACAGGGAAGCUUUAGGUUUAUUAAAUGUUGCUAUGAAGGUAUCACUGUUUUUCUUUGUGAAUGCAAUGUGCUCCAACUGAAACUUGAAUUAGAACUUAGAAGUAAAUCCUUCCAGAUGAAAACUGUGAUGGUGUUGGAUUGUCAGACCGUAAUGUUGCAGCUCAGAGCAGCUUUUCUAGCUCAGUUCAUUCUGACAUUCAGCUAUGAAUCAACACAGCAGAUGGUGAUCCAUGCUGUGGAAGUCUCACAUCUCCUGAUUUAAUGGAGCUGCUUUGCACUUUUUACACUGUUUAUUCACCAACACUUUAUUUAAUAAAAGUCCCAUCUAGUUUUUAUGAGGAAUGUGAUGUUUGAAUUUCUCUGUGAAUAACUGCAGUCUAAUGGAACAGCUGGAGUUACAACAUCUGUCCUGAUAUUGAUCAUGGAAUAUUGAUAAGAAUGAUCAGAUGAGUUUGUUUUUACUGCCAGCUACCUUUCAGUCUGAGAUAUUAAGAAUAAAUAAAUGUGCAUAAUGUGGAAAUGAACAGAUUCGAUUUUUAUUUAUUCCUACAGCUGCUGCAUUUAAAGUUCUAGAAUGUGGAGGAAUUUAGUCUCACAAUCACAGACAAUAAAUAUCAUCUGAAAGUCGAGUUAUUGUUGUUUAUCAGCACAAUACAAAAAGAUUAAUGUUAGAAAUAUUCCAUUUAAGACUCUAGAAUAUCAUGAUUUAUUUAAAUUUACCUCAAUAAUAUGAAUGUUCAGGUUAAGAUUGUGCAGUGAUAUUUAUUAUGUAAGUUUAGCUGAUUAAAGUUUAUGACUCUGCACUAAAAUAUUAUUUAAAUUGACAUCAUUAUUAUAAUAUUUAGGGUCAGACCCUACAGUAUUGAGAUUAAGAAAUCAAAUAUUCUUUAAAAUGUAAAUACACUGAAUUUGGAUAUAUUUAAAUGAGACUCUACAAUAUUAUUUGACACAAAUCUAUUGAAAUCAAAAUUUGAAUCAUUUUUACUCCAAACAUUUACUGGACUGAUUUAAAUAUUAAAAUCACUCCUUUCUAAUCCUCUGCUGUACGUUCAAACCUGAGGCCUUAAAUAGAAACACACAAGUAUCUGAUUGAAGGAACUUCUGCAGAGUCCUGGUUCCAGAACAUGAUGAUAGAAUUAUAGACAAACUUUAACAAAAGCUGCCUGAGAGUUUACAGGUUUUUAUGUUAGAUUUCUUCAGUAAUUUAAUGAGUUAUCAGCAAAAAUCAAGUAUUCAUUUGAUGAACUUCAUUUCCUAAAACAUCCAGAAUUGGAGCUCAUAUCUUUGGCAGCUGUAAAGUUUCUGCUCCUUCAAAGUUCACAACACAAUGAAUGAAUUCCUAAAACACUCUCAAUGCUGGAGAGCGUUUGAUGCUGAAGCAGUGAUCAGUUUUUCUGUUUCUUCUCUGGAGAUGCACAAUGAGGGACGUCUGCAGAGACUGAGAAAGAGUCUCACCACAUCCUGACAUGAGGAAAAAGACUUUAUUGAAGACUACAAUGAGAAAAACUAUCAGACAGCAGACGGCUGCAUUCAAGGUGAGCUCUGAACAUUUGAUCUGGAACAGGAAUUCAAUAACGGCAGCAUGAGCUUCAUUUCAGUCUGUAGCUGCUGAAUUCAUGGAUGAAUCAUCUGGCACUAGAGAGGAAGACCAUCAAACAUCCACGUCAGCUGAUGGAGGUCCAAGAGUCUCACCCAACAAACAACCUACAGAGUGACCUAGAGCUGUUAGAUUGUUCCAGAUAAGACAAGUACAAGAUUCUUCAGAGCCGUUCUACCAUGAGCCUGACAGGAAGAACUCCUCCAGCUACUGAAUGUUCCUGUGGUCCCCUCAAGGCUACAGGAGGAGUCCUACAAGGACGAGCUGGUCCACCUGAUGGCGGCCAGUCGCUGCGGUUCAAAGCCAACACCGACUACGUGGACUUCUACUGGACCACACGGAGGCCUUCAAACCGGACCAACAAGUUCAGCGACUCCCCGACUCGUGGGUCUGAGGACGCCGCCGAGCCUCGGCCCAGCCGGCCUCCUGUCUGUGGGUGUUUGAGUGCUGAGAGGUUUGUGGAUGCAUGUGAAAGUUCUGUGUUGAAACAGCAGCUUUGGACUCAGUAACGCCAGGAAAAGCCAAGAGCUCCUUUAUUUGUGACUUCCACUAAAAAAACUGAUGAAAAUAAGUUUGCCAGGGUUCUGACUGAUAACAGAUUAUUAAAUAAUGAAAAUAAUAGUUUAAAUACUCCUUUAAACAAUCCUUUUCGGUCUACAUUUCCUUGACACUGACUUCAUGGUAUAUGUACAAGUAUUUUGGGUGGAAUAUACCAAUAAGCCCAAUGUUCAAGGGUUCUUCUGGGAAUAUACCAUUAAACCAGCCUUUUAGGUAAAUGUUCCAAGAUGUUGGGUAGAAUAUACCAUCAGAUAAACCUUUUAGGUCUACAUUGGAAGAUUUUAGAGUAGAAUAUUACUCCAAACCAUCCUUUAUGUCUACAUUUAAGGUGGAAUACUCCUUUACACCAUGAUUUUUUGGUCUACAUUGAAGGAUUUUAGGUGGAAUAUUCCUUUGAACGAACUUUCUAAGUUUCUGUUCAAGGAUGUUGGGUGGAAUAUACCAUCAGACCAACCUCCAAGGUCUACAGUAGUGAAUUUUAGGUAGAAUAUACCAUUAAACUCACCUUUUAGGUCUACAUUGGAGGAUUUUAGGUGGAAUUUCUUUUAAACCGUCUUUUAGUCUACAUUUAAGGAUGUUUAGGAUGGUAUAUUCUUCCAAACCAACUUCUCAGGUCUACAUUUCAGGUGGAAUAUUCCUCCAUACUAACUUUUUUGGUCUACAUUGAAGGAUUUUUUCUAAACCACCCUUUCGGGUCUAUAUUUGAGGUUUUAGGUGGAAUAUUCCUUUUAACCAGCCCCUCAGCUCUCUGAGGAUUUUGGAUGAAAUACUCAGUUAAACCAACAUUUUAGGUGCAUGUCCAAGGAUUUUUGGUGGAAUGUUCCUUUAAUGUGGAUGUUUGAGGACCUUGUCGGUGGAAUACUUCCUGAAACCAAACUUUUAGGUCAACAUCCAAAGAUUUAAGGUGGAAUAUUCCUUUAAACCAACCUAAAUUUCAUGUUUUAAUCAUUAUCAAGCGAGAAACCUCAAUCCAGACUCCUCAUAAUGAUGUUUGAGAUUUAUGCUGCUGUUAUUUGUUUAGUCCAGUCUAAAUGACAGAAAUCUACAACUGUAAUUUUAUUUCAGGACUCAGUUAUUAAAUGUCAAAACAAUCCAUGUGACUCUAAAAACUCAACAGCUUUACAAACUCUAAGAUUAAACUCUCCACAAGGAUCCAAAAUAAGUUGGACUUCUACAUGAGAGCUUUAAUUAUUCUUCAUCUACUUCCUGAAAAGUUUGGUCAAUAAAAAAGACAAAAACCAAUAUUUUCAGCUGAACUAAAGACAGAUUUUGUGAUUUUUCUGCUCACAUGUUGUGUUGUUGUAAACUUCCUCUUUCAAAUAAAUAUCCUCCUAACCCCCUGGA